rnacentral:rRNA from 1 species
AUUGAACGCUGGCGGCAUGCCUUACACAUGCAAGUCGAACGGUAACAGGUCUUCGGAUGCUGACGAGUGGCGAACGGGUGAGUAAUACAUCGGAACGUGCCCGAGAGUGGGGGAUAACGAGGCGAAAGCUUUGCUAAUACCGCAUACGAUCUCAGGAUGAAAGCAGGGGACCGCAAGGCCUUGCGCUCACGGAGCGGCCGAUGGCAGAUUAGGUAGUUGGUGGGGUAAAAGCUUACCAAGCCGACGAUCUGUAGCUGGUCUGAGAGGACGACCAGCCACACUGGGACUGAGACACGGCCCAGACUCCUACGGGAGGCAGCAGUGGGGAAUUUUGGACAAUGGGCGCGAGCCUGAUCCAGCCAUGCCGCGUGCAGGAUGAAGGCCUUCGGGUUGUAAACUGCUUUUGUACGGAACGAAAGGACUCUGGUUAAUACCUGGGGUCCAUGACGGUACCGUAAGAAUAAGCACCGGCUAACUACGUGCCAGCCGCCGCCGUAAUAC